CCUACGGGUGACAGCAGUCGGGAAUCUUUCACAAUGGGGGAAAGCCUGAUGGUGCGACGCCGCGUGGGAGAAUGAAGCUCUUCGGAUUGUAAACCCCUGUCAUGUGGGAGCAAAUUAAAUAGAUAGUACCACAAGCGGUAGAGACGGCUAACUCUGUGCCAGCAGCCGCGGUCAUACAGAGGACUCAAGCGUUGUUCGGAAUCACUGGGCGUAAUGCGUGCGUAGGCGGUUUCGUAAGUCGUGUGUGAAAGGCCCGGGCUCAACCCGCGGACGGCACAUGAUACUGGGAGACUAGAGUAAAGUAGAGGGAAGCGGAAUUCUCGGUGUAGCGGUGAAAUGCGUAGAGAUCGGGAGGAACACUCGUGGCGAAGGCGGGUUCCUGGACAUUGACUGACGCUGAGGCACGAAGGCCAGGGGAGCGAAAGGGAUUAGAUACCCCAGUAGUC
rnacentral:rRNA from 1 species